rnacentral:lncRNA from 1 species
CAUGAGUGAUAUAUACUACUUGCCUGCUGCUAUAUCAUAUUGCUUACUUUUUUACAUCAGAUCAAUUAUGAAGAGAAUUGGUGGUGGUUAGGGUGUUUUGGUGCUUAUGUAAUCUUCUUUCAGGCCUUUCGCGAUAGAUUUCUUUAGCUGGCAUGUUUAGCAAAUGCUACAGUGCUUAUGGUUUAGUUUUACACCUGCGUAAAAAUGAAUGGCUGCUACUGUUUCUAGUUUUAGGUUGGGAUGAGAUGCAUGUUUGCAUGCUUGUGCUUCUGUCACUACAAUCUAUACUACUGCUAUUGUCAUAUCCUCGUUGUUUUGUUGCUACUAAUAUUUGUCCCAUGUUUUGUUUCCUUGCAUGCUUACUACUACAAUUUAUACUACUACUAUUGUGCAAGAUGUUCACAUGUUAAUUUGACUAAAAUCUCUUAUGUCGUUCACUUAGCUUGACCCAGAACAGCAGCAUCCUUGAUGCGACUAACCUUCACCUAGUUCUUUCUCUCGCAGACUCGAAGGAGGCCGUAUGCAAGGCACCAAGGUGCAUGGUCCUCGCAAGCGAGGAACGGAGGAUGUUCGACAUCGGCUACGCAAACCACCAUUGUGAGCUCCUCCCUUUGCUAUGGUACAACCAUGCUCUGUUUCAUGGGUUAGUUAGGAUUUUGAUGCUUUUUGCGCCAUGGUUGAGUCCUUGCCGACUAUUGUGUCGAUGAUCAAGUGUUGGUGCCUCAUUUGGCUAUUUUAUUUGUUGCUGGUAAUUAGUAGUAUUAAAGUGUCGUUAGUUUAUUAGGAUGUGGCUGAAACCAUUGGAUGGGUGCUUCUGUGGCUAUUUGAUUUGUUGCUGGUAAUUAGUAGUAUUAGAGUGCCGCUGGUUUAUUAGGAUGUAGCUGAAACCAUUGGAUGACCUUCCUGGACAUGUUAUCUAGAAUUAGUACUUGUCCCAUUUUUUGUUUCCUUGCUGGACAUGCUAUGGUUCAAGUGUCGAUGAUGUCUAGUAGUAGUUUGCUAGCUAUAUACCUGCUACUGAUUGAUGCUCUUUUGGUCUCCUGAUUGAUGCUCUUUUGGUCUCCUGGAAUCAUAUUAUACUGUAUCUAGUGUUCUUGUGGUUAUGUGAAGAUGCAUCACAAACAUCUAGGUCUUUGAAGUUGGCUGAAUCUGUUGCUUUAUCAUAUAUUUGGUCCAUAAAUCUACAUUUCUAUGAGAUAUCUUUUAGUAUAUAAUUUUUUGAUUGUCCAAGAAUAAUAGCGACUCUAAUGCUCGUAGCCCAUGUCUUCACUCUUUUACAGGAGCUCCAGGUCUAUGAAAUUUGAAGUUUGAAGCCAUAUAGUAUAGCCCUACUCAGCAAAGAGUUGUCGCUUAUGUUUGACUGUAAUAGACCGUAAUAUUGUAAUAUUGUAACAGUAGGCAUAUUGGGGUUGUAAUAGACUAUGUACAGAUUGUAGUAGACUUACUGUUAUUUGAUGAACUACAUUUCUACUGUUGGGUCUGAAAUAUUGAUUAUGUAUGUGAUUUGAAAACAUGUGGAAUGGAAACCUGACUUGUGGGACCCACUUAUG